rnacentral:rRNA from 1 species
AUUGAACGCUGGCGGCAGGCUUAACACAUGCAAGUCGAGCGAGCGGCGGACGGGUGAGUAAUGUCUGGGAAACUGCCUGAUGGAGGGGGAUAACUACUGGAAACGGUAGCUAAUACCGCAUACCAUCAGAUGUGCCCAGAUGGGAUUAGCUAGUAGGUGGGGUAAUGGCUCACCUAGGCGACGAUCCCUAGCUGGUCUGAGAGGAUGACCAGUCACACUGAAACUGAGAAAAGGGCCAGACUCCUACGGGAGGCAGCAGUGGGGAAUAUUGCACAAUGGGAGCAAGCCUGAUGCAGCCAUGCCGCGUGUGUGAAGAAGGACUUCGGGUGGUAAAGCACUUUCAGAGAGGAGGCGUUACUCGCAGAAGAAGCACCGGAUAACUCCGUGCCGGCAGCCGCGGUAAUUC